ensembl:lncRNA
GCCUGGGCCCGCGCAGCCAAUCGGCGCCUCCGCGGCGCUGCACGUGACCUUUGUUGACUUACGUCAGUCAUAGCGCUCUUCCAUCGCUGCGCUCCGGUUUGGUUGGCGCUCAGCGCCCGCCUCUCUCGGCGGCCUCACGCCAUUGGUCAGCGUCAGCGGGAGGAGGCGGGUUUUGUGCCCGUCGCGGUUCACGAGAGGGCGAGGAGCCCAUCAAUCAGAAGAGCUUUUCGAUGAUCAGCUAACACGGGGAUGAUUAACAAAGAUGGACAACAGCAUUAUAGUCACUUUGGGCAGCUGAAGCUGACCACGUAAGUGCAGCAUACCAAGUCAGGCGAGGAAGGGGCAUAAAAUUUGCCCUCUGAAAAAAAAAGAGAAGAAACACCCCUCACUUGCAGAAAGAAAAUUCUGACUGGGAAAUACCAGGGAGCUUGUAUGAAAAGCAGUAAGACAAACAGAUCUGAUCUCUUUGUGGCCCAUGUCAAAAUUCCUCUGGAUGGCAGCAAGACUGGGAUCCAACUGGAAUCACGCAGAUGCAGCUGCCAGGAAACACGAGUAACCUGUGUGCAUGACUACCUUUGUGUUUACACUUCGUGCAUCUUCCAGCAAUGCACCUCUUUUUGGGACAGGGCAGUUUUUAAGUCUGAUCCUCUCAGUGUGCUGCUGGUUGUGCACCCACACAAACGGGGGAACCAGCUGGACACAGGUCUCGCCAACUCUUUCUGAGAUGUGUUGCAGAUGGAGCACAGAGACUCUCAGACUCUAAGGUGAUAUAUGAAUCCUGAGGCAAAAGAAGACCUGAACCCAAACAAUCAACUGAGGCUUUUACCAUCUGACCAACUUCCUCUACAGUCUUACUGGAUGAUAAUGAAAAAUAAGUGGUUCAUUUCACCAAUAAUCUAAUAAUACAGAAUUUGUAUUAUAUGCAUAUGCGUACACAUGCAAAAGAUAGAAAUUUGUUUGUAUUUUUUUAGGUAAUAUUUAUGACCUAAUGACUUUUUAUGUAAUAUAUGCACUGCUUCUGUAGAUACAAAUUAUAGAUAGACAUAUGCUUUUAAAAUGUGCUAGUAUGACACUUGUAUGACAUGUCUCUCAAUGAAGAAUUAAUAUUUCUUACUUUUUUUCUCCUUUCAUUUCUCAUUGCAAUGCACAAGAAAGCAGUUUCAGCUUAUUUUGGCGGAGGUGCACUUAGAAAUGUGUAGCGUUUAUUUGCAGUACUGCUCUCACAAAAUGUUGCCAUGCUGUGGCACUUCUUUGAAGUUCUUCUCUGAAAGGUUCUUUGCAAAGGCUGUGUAGGAGGCUUUGCAACCGGGAGGUUUGGAAUUGUUUUUCUGAAAAUUAUUCUGAAAAGUCUGUCCUUUUCAAGGUCUUGGCCAGGUGCACAGCUAUUUUCCUCUUUCCAUUUCCUUUAACUCUGCAGCACAGAAUAAUAGGCCCUAUCUGAAAUUUUAUAUAUGUAAUGCAUUGCAGACUCUGCCACAUACUUCCCUUUUCAGCAGGCUUAUUGAACACCAAGGCACUUGCAGUGAUUCUUCUGUCAGCCUAACAUUCAGUCUCUCAGAGAUCAGCCAAACGUAGGGACCAGUUCUACCACCACCACGCUCAUGGUGCUUUCUUUACAUUACAUUCCCAAACGUCAAUGGAUCUCUCAUAAAUUGCUAUGAUCUGUGUCAAGAUAGAGUUCUCAGCAUGUGUCUCAUGCUCACCUGCAUCACCAAACAGCCUCACAAGGAAGGUGUCUCCAUGAAUACUGACCAGCCAGCAACAGCACUGCAGCCAUUCCCCUGAGAGAAAGCUCCCUCCAGUUUUGACCACUGCCACAGAAAGGAGAACGAGAGCCCCCAACGCACUCCAAUGCUAUUCUGCAUGGGAACUCAGCUCAUCACGACACAGAAGAAGAAACACUAGAAACUGACUUGAAACCAGUGCUCUUCACUGUGUUGUCAAGCACAUGUGUCACUAGGCUGGUAGAUUAAACCUAUGUCCAUAAUGAAGAGGAGGAGCCAAGUGGUCCACCAGUAAAGAUCCCAGUCUGCUUCAGUUGGUUCCUUUCCUGAUGGAUGCCACAAAUAUCCUGCACAGAACACAGCACAGACCACGUUAAUGCAGCACACCAGGGUGGCAGUGGCACUCUUCUAAGGCUGUUCCUCCAGGAAGCUCACCAACAUCCUUGCAGGAUCAGUCUGAAGCUACGCUUUGACACUUUGCCUUUUGCAUAGAGAGGCGGCCCUAAGGUUUUUGCAUACAUUGAUACGUACAUGAAAAAGCAGAUACUUGCCCUAGUCCCAGGCACUUGCAGUAAAGAUCCAUAGAGAACUUGAAUAAUCAUAAUUUCUUAGUGCAUUAAAGAGUUCAGACUACAGAAAGAAGACAUUUCCGAGAAACAGAUUUUAUAGACUGAGCUGAACAGAUUUUUGGCAUUAUUUGUAAGCCAGUCAUUGUUAAGCCUUUGUACUUAGAAGAGCAAUUAUGACUCCUUUGGAAACAUCCUUAGUUGAACUCUUAAAAUAAUAAAAACACUCCUCCGUAAGACCACAUUAACAUAUGGUUUUCGUAAUGACAGCACAAACAAAUCACCCACUCAUCAAACACAUUUAGGAAGAAGACAGGAACAAACAGAGCAAAAAUUUUCUAAAGAUUACUUAGAGGUCCUGAUCAGUCAGGGAAAAAAAGAAAAGAAAAAAGUGAACUAAACUGAAUUCAGGUCCUGACUAUAGGAUAUUGAAUACAGACAAAAUAUGCAACAUACAAAUAACCAAAAUCAAGAAUACCACUAAACUUUGUAAGGCAAAAUUUAUAGAUAUUAAGCUGCAAAACUGUAUUUCAAAAAAAUGUCAAGCUGUGGAUGCCUAGCUUCCUAGUUUACUUUUGAACGUUGGUGAUGCAUCAUCAGUAAGCAAGAAAGAGACAAGGUGUGUUUGCACCAGUGACCAGCUGGAAUACCUUUGCUGGACUUACCACCCCCCAGUACUUUGCAGGCAAGUCCCAGCCAAACCAUAGUCUUCACUACAUGCACUGCUUCAUCCCCAGGAGCAGCAGCAGGAACCUGCAUCCUUGAAGCACAUGUGCAUCUUCCUGGGGCUGAGCACCGGGAACAACUGGGCUACCAGCAGUGGCCAGCACAGCUCCCGUGCAGCUCCCUGUAACACCAUCAGCAUGACCUCAGUGCAGAGGAAAAGGAGAGCAAACAAGAUCCACAUUCAAAAUGGAGUUUGUAGUCUGACAGACACCCGGUGUGAGCCUUCACUGUGAAGCGGUUCAAAAAAUGAGCAUGAGCAAAUCCCUCUAAGGAGUGUUUUUGCCUACGUGUAGUUCUGUUGUUUUUGCUAGCUCUCUUCCACAUGAAUCUGUGUCUUGUGAAUAGAAGAAUGGAUGAGAUAACUCCAUGCACUCAUUUUGAUUCCAUUUGGGAAAGGGGCCAAGCAGGUCUUUCAUGCUUGCCACCCCCCUGGAACAGAAUCACUGAACAUCCCAAGUUGGAAAACACCCACAAGGAUCAUUGAGUCCAACCCCUGGUUCCAGAUAGGACCAGCCAAAAUCAAACCCUAUGUCUGAGAGCACUGUCCAGACACUCCCUGAACUCCGGCACUGGGGGCCGUGCCCACAUCCCUGGGCAGCCCGUUCCAUGCCCACCGCCCUGUGGUGCAGCCCCUGUCCCUAACCCCCAGCUGCCCCUCCCCUGACACAGCUCCAUGCCGUUCCCUCGGGCCCUGUCGCUGUCACACAGAGCAGAGCUCAGCGCUGCCCCUCCGCUCCCUGUGAGGAGCUGCAGCCGCCAUCAGGCCUCCCCUCAGCUCCUCUGCUCUGCGCUGAGCACACCGAGGGGCCUCAGCUGCUCCUCACACACCUUGCCCUCAGAGCCUUCUCCAUCGUUGUAGCCCUCCUUUGGAUGCUCUCUAAUAGUUUUAUGUCCUUAGAUUUUGGCAUCCAAACCCGCACCCAGUGCUGGAGGUGAGGCUACACAGCACAGAGCAGAGGGGACGCCCAGCUGGGCCUGGUGCACCCCAGGUACUGGGCAAAGGGCCAACCUAUUCACUCGUUAGAACAGGUCUAAAUAAUGAGGGCUGAACCGGAGCUCCUGCUACCAUAUCCUGACUGUUGCAGAGGUCUGUAGGACUGCGCAGAUGGUAGUAGCACUGGGAAAUAUGUGGUAAUAAAACUUGUGUAGAUAGAGCCAGAGUGUCUUGAGUUAAUGGUAGGAAGAGGAAUUAGGUUUCCUCCUCCAAUCCUUAGCCAAGCCAUUUUCAGAUUUAAUCAAGAUCAGCAUUUCUGCUGCUACCAACAUUUAGUUCAGAAUUACAUCCCAGUUUUCUUCAGCAGGCAACACUGCCUCUGUCUCACCAUUUGCUCAAUGCUCUUCACGGUAGUGCUUGGUCCCAUAGCUCUCACCUUCAUGUUCUGCAGAAACCACUGUCGAGUCCUUGAAAGCACCAUAAGUGCUGAAGUUGAUCAGUGCUGAGGAGUCAUGGUGAAGGGAAUGCUUCCACAAUAAUAAUAAUAAUAAUAAUAAUAAUAAUAAUAAUAAUGAAAAACAGAGGGAAAAGAUGAACAUUAUCUGCCUUUGAACAGUUUUAUCAGAGGCAAUUGCUGCUUUCAAUUUUUGUCCAUCUGUGUUACCAUUUUAUCACAUACCAACAUCUGAGUAUUGAAAAAUGAGAAAAAUUAACAGUGCUCCUGGAAACAAUGCUGUCAUAUAGUCUACUUCAUUAUUGUUGAGCUUUGAAAGGUAACUAAAUGGCAGUCGAUCCUCUGGGGAAAUUCUUGAGAAAUAAUCUUUAUUAUAAAGGAAUGAGUUAAGUUGUACUUGCUGUUGCAUUGUGAAGUUAAGAAAAGUCCUGGUGAUAAAGUGCCAUAGCUCUUCAUGAGUGCCACAGGGAACGCACCUCUUAUUUGUCAGUCUCUCUCCCCACUUGCCAGGGGCCUAGAUUUUCACAAGAGAAUUACCCCUGCAAAGCAGGGGGGAUUGCAGAGCUGCUAAAGCAAGUUAGUCCUUUGGCCAGAGAAAUGUUAUUUUGAGCUCACCAUAUAGGAAGGAGACGCAACCACCCUGAGUGAGGCAGCUGGCAGUGGUCCUGUGCUCCAGAAGUCCCACAUUUGACUGUGCUGACCACACACAUUUUUUCAGUUAUCAGGAGGAAAUUCACUUAGUGUUACUUCAGCCAAGAAGAGGAACCCCAGAAGAAGCUUUAGGAGGACUCUUCAGAAGCUUGAGAUCAUCUGCUACGGGAAUCAGCAUCAUGGAUGCAUAGACUCAGGGAUAAACUCAGACCAAGAAGAGUGAGGAAGACCCAAAAUAUCUCGGUAAAGGAAACAUUUCUGCCAUGUCCAGUCUUGGCUUCAUGAGAGGACACUGGAAGGCAGUUGUUUUUUUUUUUUUUUUUUACUUUUGUUGCAGCUUUUCACUGCUAUUUAUAAGGACUGCACAACAUACUCCAAACUCUUCUUUCAACAACCUGCUAAUGUUAGGGGAAGAAAAAAAAAUUCAUUUAGGAAUAAAAGCCAAAAAGCUUUUCGUUAUUGAUCAGGAAUUCAAUCAAGUAACAUCAUCAACAGCAAAAAAAAAAAAGUAUGUGCUUAAACAUGAACAGUCCAAAGAUGUUAGUUGUCUGUCAAAACAAAUUGUCAGACAUAUUUGUGUUCUACACAGGAAUAGAUUUAUUGAAAAUCUUAAGUGGAAUGUUUGUUUCCACCAUCUACCAAAUAAUGUUCUGUGGGGUUUUGUUCUGAGUACUGAGCAGCUGCAUCGGAAACUUUUUAAUUCAGGGAAGAGUGGCAGUUCCUUUUUGUCUUCUGUGUACCAGCUCUUAGGAAUUCCAGGAAAACUCUAUAAUCCCCAGCUCUCUCUGGCAUGCCACCACCUGAUCAUCACGAUCGCAAACAUUUGUAAUAAAAAUCAGUUAAUAUGCAAGCCACUAUUUUAUAUGCUAUCAUCAAUCCCAGAGGUGGUUUAAGAAGUACCUUCAUGUAGAACCUAUGUUUUUUUUUUUAUUCUUUUUGUGUCUGUUAAGGCUGGUAUAAUCACGAGGUUAAUUAGAAUCUUAAAUGCUUAGUUCCCAUGUUAAGAGAUUUGUCUCUAUUUAAAAAAAAAACAACGUCACAACAAGGGAAAAUGUAGGGUUUUUUUAAUUAUAACUGGCCAUUUUGAAGAAAAUGUCUUGUAUAUUGGAAGCACGAGAGCCCAAAUGAGAGCCUAUAAACAUUUUAAAUAGGAAGUUUCCAAUUUUAUUAUUUAUAACACUUGAACUCCUUUACUUUCAAGACGUUCAUAUUACCACAAAGCUCCUGAAGCCAUAUUUAUCAGGCCAUCUACUUCUAUGUUAUUAGUAUAAAGAUUGUACAGAACUGCACACAAUAAAAAACUAAUAAAAAAACAGUAAAAUAACACUGUGUGGCUU